rnacentral:lncRNA from 1 species
AUUAUGGAAAGGUGGCCAAACUUGGUCUUUUGGAAUCUCCAAAAGGCUUUCACCAUAAAACUCCAGGAAUAGUCUUUCAUGACAGUUUCCUUCCACUUAACAUAACAUUUUCGACAUGUCCCUGCUGUGGAACUUGUCAGUCACUUCUUCCUACCUUUCUGAGUCUGAAUGAUAUUCCACAGCAUGGUCUUCUUGCUCCCUUCAGCAGUUGGGCAAUAGCAAGCAGAAAUACCAAAAUGACACCCAGGGUUUGGAGGCAGAUUUACUUACAUUGACAGGCACUGAUUGGAAUCAUUGCCAAAAUAUCAGGCCUUGAUCUCCGGUGGUCUAAGGCUUAGAUGGGAUAAGCAAGCAGGAAGUACAGAGGCAGAAUAGCCUGUCAAUUGGGGAUUGGUUCUUACAAUAUGCAUCAUAGUGACCAGCUUUGCAUCACAGUGGCCAGCCAUUUCUAGGAGACAGAGGCAACUGGAACUGGAACAGGAACUAUAACCUGGGCAACUAAGAGACUGAGCCUACAGCGCAGAGUGCGCGGAGCCCGGAGUCUUGACGCCCAGGCGAAGCAGGCCCGGGGCGAGCGCGAACCCGCAGGGCAGCGACCCACCGAGUUCCCGCGGGGACGUUCGCGCCCUCGCGCUCCAGUCUUGAACGUUCGGCGGCGUCUUGAACCCGCGGCGCCCCGAGUGCCAGGGCGCGCCCGCUCCGCCCGAGGAGAGAGCUCGCCCCUCCAGGAAGCGCCCGCCUCGCCUCCCGCUUCCCUCCCCGCACCCGCCCUCGGCCGGAGGGAGGAGCCCGAGCCG